UACGAAGGGGGCUAGCGUUGUUCGGAAUUACUGGGCGUAAAGCGCACGUAGGCGGAUUUGCCAGUCAGGGGUGAAAUCCCAGGGCUCAACCCUGGAACUGCCUUUCAUACUGGCAAUCUAGGGUUCGAGAGAGGUGAGUGGAAUUCCGAGUGUAGAGGUGAAAUUCGUAGAUAUUCGGAGGAACACCAGUGGCGAAGGCGGCUCACUGGCUCGAUACUGACGCUGAGGUGCGAAAGCGUGGGGAGCAAACAGG
rnacentral:rRNA from 1 species